rnacentral:lncRNA from 1 species
GAUCAUCCUGGCAAACAUGGUGAAACCCCAUCUCUACUAAAAAUACAAAAAUUAGCAGGGCGUGGUGGCAUGUGCCUGUAGUCCCAGCUACUCGGGAAGCUGAGGCAGGAGAAUCGCUUGAACCCAGGAUGCAGAGGUUGCAGUGAGCUGAUGUUGUGCCACUGCAGUGCAGCCUGCCAACAGAGUAAGACCCGUCUCAACAACAACAACAAAAAAGAAGAAAAUUUUUAGGAGACAAUGAUGGAGCCCCACUCUGUCACCAGGCUGGAGUGCAGUGGUGCAAUCUCAGCUCACUGCAACCUCCGCCUCCCAGGUUCAAGUGAUUCUCCUGCCUCAGCCUCCUGAGUUAACUGGGACUACAAUCGCCUGCCACCACGCCCAGUUAAUUUUUAUAUUUUUAGUAGAGAUGGGGUUUCACCAUGUUGGCCAGGAUGGUCUCGAUCUUUUGACCUCAUGAUCUGCCUGCCUUGGCCUCCUGAAGUACUGGGAUUACAGGCAUGAGCCACCGUGCCUGGCCAGAAUAUUAUAUCUUUGAGUGUGAAUGUUAAAUGGUGGAAAAACAAUAGAAUGAUCUCUGUAGAUUCAAAAUCUGCACUGAUCUUUUUUGUCCAGAUUCAUAUUACAAUCUUGAGGAAUUUCUCAUAAUUCUUUGUUUUAGUGGAUGCAUUUCAUGGGCUACAGUUUUCAUUUUUACUCACCUAACUUUAUCCAAGUCCUUGGUCACCUUCUCUGG